UGGAGGAUUCUACCCCUUCAGUGCAGCAGCUAACGCAUUAAGUCCCCCGCCUGGGGAGUACGGUCGCAAGGUUGAAACUCAAAGGAAUUGACGGGGGCCCGCACAAGCGGUGGAGCAUGUGGUUUAAUUCGAUGCAACGCGAAGAACCUUACCUGGGCUUGACAUGCAGGGAACAAAUGAAGAAAUACAUCCUUGUUCGGACUCCUGUACAGGUGCUGCAUGGCUGUCGUCAGCUCGUGUCGUGAAAUGUUAGGUUAAGUCCUUCAACGAGCGCAAUCCUGGUCUUUAGUUUCCAUCAGGUAAUUCUGGGGGCUCUAUAGAGACUCCCGGUGACAAACCGGAGGAAGGUGGGGGCGACGUCAAGUCAUCAUGGCCCUUUCACCCAGGCCUACACACGUGCUACAAUGGUCGGUACAAUGGGCAGCAAUACAGCGAUGUGGAGCGAAUCCCAAAAAGCCGGUCUCAGUUAGGAUAGUAGUAAGAGACUCGACUACGUGAAGUUGGAAU
rnacentral:rRNA from 1 species